rnacentral:rRNA from 1 species
AGUGAACGCUGGCGGUAGGCCUAACACAUGCAAGUCGAACGGCAGCACAGAGGAGCUUGCUCCUUGGGUGGCGAGUGGCGGACGGGUGAGGAAUACAUCGGAAUCUACUCUGUCGUGGGGGAUAACGUAGGGAAACUUACGCUAAUACCGCAUACGACCUACGGGUGAAAGCAGGGGACCUUCGGGCCUUGCGCGAUUGAAUGAGCCGAUGUCGGAUUAGCUAGUUGGCGGGGUAAAGGCCCACCAAGGCGACGAUCCGUAGCUGGUCUGAGAGGAGGAUCAGCCACACUGGACAUGAGACACGGUCCAGACUCCUACGGGAGGCAGCAGUGGGGAAUAUUGGACAAUGGGCGCAAGCCUGAUCCAGCCAUACCGCGUGGGUGAAGAAGGCCUUCGGGUUGUAAAGCCCUUUUGUUGGGAAAGAAAUCCAGCUGGCUAAUACCCGGUUGGGAUGACGGUACCCAAAGAAUAAGCACCGGCUAACUUCGUGCCAGCCGCCGCAGUAA